AGAGUUUGAUCAUGGCUCAGGAUGAACGCUAGCGGCAGGCUUAAUACAUGCAAGUCGAGGGACAGCACAGGUAGCAAUACUGGGUGGUAACCGGCAAACGGGUGCGGAACACGUACACAACCUUCCUUUAAGUGGGGGAUAGCCCAGAGAAAUUUGGAUUAAUACCCCGUAAUAUAGUUUGAUGGCAUCAUUGGACUAUUAUAGCUACGGCGCUUAAUGAUGGGUGUGCGUCUGAUUAGAUAGUUGGCGAGGUAACGGCUCACCAAGUCUACGAUCAGUAGCUGAUGUGAGAGCAUGAUCAGCCACACGGGCACUGAGACACGGGCCCGACUCCUACGGGAGGCAGCAGUAAGGAAUAUUGGUCAAUGGACGCAAGUCUGAACCAGCCAUGCCGCGUGAAGGAUUAAGGUCCUCUGGAUUGUAAACUUCUUUUAUUUGGGACCAAAAAGGGCCUUUCUAGGCCAACUGACGGUACCAGAUGAAUAACACCGGCUAACUCCGUGCCAGCAGCCGCGGUAAUACGGAGGGUGCAAGCGUUAUCCGGAUUCACUGGGUUUAAAGGGUGCCUAGGCGGGUAGGUAAGUCAGUGGU
rnacentral:rRNA from 1 species